rnacentral:rRNA from 1 species
AGUGAACGCUGGCGGUAGGCCUAACACAUGCAAGUCGAACGGCAGCACAGUAAGAGCUUGCUCUUACGGGUGGCGAGUGGCGGACGGGUGAGGAAUACAUCGGAAUCUACUUUUUCGUGGGGGAUAGCGUAGGGAAACUUACGCUAAUACCGCAUACGACCUACGGGUGAAAGCAGGGGAUCUUCGGACCUUGCGCGAUUGAAUGAGCCGAUGUCGGAUUAGCUAGUUGGCGGGGUAAAGGCCCACCAAGGCGACGAUCCGUAGCUGGUCUGAGAGGAUGAUCAGCCACACUGGAACUGAGACACGGUCCAGAUUCCUACGGGAGGCAGCAGUGGGGAAUAUUGGACAAUGGGCGCAAGCCUGAUCCAGCCAUACCGCGUGGGUGAAGAAGGCCUUCGGGUUGUAAAGCCCUUUUGUUGGGAAAGAAAAGCAGCAGGUUAAUACCCCGCUGUUCUGACGGUACCCAAAGAAUAAGCACCGGCUAACUUCGUG